rnacentral:rRNA from 1 species
CCUACGGGCGGCAGCAGUGAGGAAUAUUGGUCAAUGGACGAGAGUCUGAACCAGCCAAGUAGCGUGAAGGAUGACUGCCCUAUGGGUUGUAAACUUCUGUUAUAGGGGAAGAAAACAGGGGAUGCAGACCCUCUUGUAUGUACAAUAUGAAUAAGGAUCGGCUAACUCCGUGCCAGCAGCCGCGGUAAUACGGAGGAUCCGAGCGUUAUCCGGAUUUAUGGGGUUUAAAGGGAGCGUAGGUGGAUUGUUAAGGCAGUGGGGAAAGUUUGCGGCUCAACCGUAAAAUUGCAGUUGAAACUGGCAGUCUUGAGUACAGUCGAGGUGGGCGGACUUCGUGGUGUAGCGG